AGUCUUCGGACGUCGGCGACCGGCGCACGGGUGCGUAACGCGUAUGGAACCUACCCAUCUCAGGGGGAUAGCCCGUGGAAACAUGGAUUAAUACCCCAUAAAGCAGGGAGCCCGCAUGGGCAUAUUGCUAAAGAUUCAUCGGAGAUGGAUGGCCAUGCGUGCCAUUAGCUAGAUGGCGGGGUAACGGCCCACCAUGGCGAUGAUGGCUAGGGGGUCUGAGAGGAUGAUCCCCCACACUGGCACUGAGACACGGGCCAGACUCCUACGGGAGGCAGCAGUAGGGAAUAUUGGGCAAUGGGCGGAAGCCUGACCCAGCCAUGCCGCGUGGGCGAAGAAGGACCUAGGUUCGUAAAGCCCUUUUACACGGGAAGAAAUGCAGGAUGCGUCCUGCUAUGACGGUACCGUGGGAAUAAGCACCGGCUAACUCCGUGCCAGCAGCCGCGGUAAUACGGAGGGUGCGAGCGUUGUCCGGAUUCAUUGGGCUUAAAGGGUGCGUAGGCGGCCUGCUAAGUCAGCGGUGAAAGGCACAGGCUUAACCUGUGAGCUGCCGUUGAUACUGGCAGGCUUGAGUCCCGGAGGGGAAGGCGGAAUUUGUGGUGUAGCGGUGAAAUGCAUAGAUACCACAAGGAACCCCGGAGGCGAAGGCGGCCUUCUGGCCGGCGACUGACGCUGAUGCACGAAAGCGCGGGUAGCGAACGGGAUUAGAUACCCCGGUAGUCC
rnacentral:rRNA from 1 species